UAGGGAAUCUUCCGCAAUGGGCGAAAGCUUGACGGAGCAACGCCGCGUGAGUGAUGAAGGUCUUCGGAUCGUAAAACUCUGUUAGUAGGGAAGAACAAAUGUGUAAGUAACUAUGCACGUCUUGACGGUACCUACUCAGAAAGCCACGGCUAACUACGUGCCAGCAGCCGCGGUAAUACGUAGGUGGCAAGCGUUAUCCGGAAUUAUUGGGCGUAAAGCGCGCGUAGGCGGUUUUUUAAGUCUGAUGUGAAAGCCCACGGCUCAACCGUGGAGGGUCAUUGGAAACUGGAAGACUUGAGUGCAGAAGAGGAAAGUGGAAUUCCAUGUGUAGCGGUGAAAUGCGCAGAGAUAUGGAGGAACACCAGUGGCGAAGGCGACUUUCUGGUCUGUAACUGACGCUGAUGUGCGAAAGCGUGGGGAUCAAACAGG
rnacentral:rRNA from 1 species